rnacentral:rRNA from 1 species
GCUGAAUGUGGGGAUAAUUUAUCUCCGUGUUGUAGCUAACGCGUUAAGCACUCCGCCUGGGGACUACGGUCGCAAGACUAAAACUCAAAGGAAUUGACGGGGACCCGCACAAGCGGUGGAGCAUGUGGUUUAAUUCGAUGCAACGCGAAAAACCUUACCACUCCUUGACAUGGAGAUUAGAUCCUUCUUAACAGAAGGGCGCAGUUCGGCUGGAUCUCGCACAGGUGCUGCAUGGCUGUCGUCAGCUCGUGUCGUGAGAUGUUGGGUUAAGUCCCGCAACGAGCGUAACCCUCAUCCUUAGUUGCCAGCGGGUAAGCCGGGCACUUUAAGGAAACUGCCGGUGGUAAACCGGAGGAAGGUGGGGAUGAUGUCAAGUCAGCACGGCCCUUAUGGGGUGGGCUACACACGUGCUACAAUGGUGACUACAAUAGGUUGCAAUGUCGCAAGGCUGAGCUAAUCCGUAAAAGUCAUCUCAGUUCGGAUUGUCCUCUGCAACUCGAGGGCAUGAAGUCGGAACCGCUAGUAAUCGUGGAUCAGCAUGCCACGGUGAAUACGUUCUCGGGUCUUGUACACACUGCCCGUCACGCCAUGGGAAUUGGCUUAACUCGAAGCUGGUGCGCUAACCGAAAGGAAGCAGCCAU